rnacentral:tRNA from 1 species
GCUUUCGUAGUGUAACGGUAGCACACUUGGCUCGUAUUUGAGACGUCCAGGGUUCGAGUCCCGGCGAGAGCA